UACGUAGGGUGCGAGCGUUGUCCGGAAUUAUUGGGCGUAAAGGGCACGUAGGCGGUUUGUCGCGUCAGGAGUGAAAACUCGGGGCUUAACCCCGAGCCUGCUUCUGAUACGGGCAGACUAGAGGUAUGCAGGGGAGAACGGAAUCCCUGGUGUAGCGGUGAAAUGCGCAGAUAUCAGGAGGAACACCGGUGGCGAAGGCGGUUCUCUGGGCAUUACCUGACGCUGAGGAGCGAAAGUGUGGGGAGCGAACAGG
rnacentral:rRNA from 1 species